CACAUCAAAGCAAGUCAAGUCAAAACACGUGUUUAACUGGCAGAAAGAAAGCUAUUUACAAUAUUUACAAACACAACAAAGAUUGUAGAGGAACAGUGAUUAAAUAGGUAUAUACAUUUACAUAUUUACAAUUAACAGAAUUAGAUUUGCCCAACCGUAUUGCUGAUGAAUUUAAACAUAGGAAUAUAACUUGAAACAUUUAGAAGGAGAUCCUGUAUGGAGCACGGGACUGAACCAGGGUUAUAAACUUCAAUCAGCUCGUCCAUAAGCACAAGGCGCUGAAUGCCAAAGCACGAGCAGUCAAAAAAUAUAUGUGCUAAGGAUUGGUCUAAUUGUGAGUUACAGUACUCACAGUGAGGACUGUUGACCAUUUUCAAGCGAAAAAGGAAAUUUGCUAUUAUAAUCUCCCAGAUAACAUGGGAGAAGAGAAGAUCUAUGAAUUUGAAGUGUUUCAAGAAAAUUUACAUAUUGAGUAAUGCCCAGGAGUAAGUAUACAGGAUUACGAAUUGAAGUUGGAGGGGACUGUUUCAAAUUUAAAAACAGAAAUAUAGACAACCAAGUCAUCAGCAAAAUGAAGACUUUUGACUUCUGUACCUAAAAUUAAGUUUAAACGACGAAUAUACAAGAUAAAAAUCAAUGGAGAGAGAAUUCCACCUUGACAAACACCAACAGAAGCAUAUCUUGGACCAUAUAAUCUACCAUCAGACUUAGCAUAUACUUUUCUUUCAGUCAAUAACUUGUGAACCCAAUGAACUAUUUUGUUAUGAAUUCCAAUAGAAAGUAAUUCAGAUCCAAGAACAUCAAUAUUGACACUAUUAAAGGCUCCAGCAACAUCAAAAAAUAUAGACAUUAAAAAGUUACUAUUAUUAAAGCUAUUCUGAAUGUCAAGCUGUAGCUGGCAUAUACUUUCACGUGAAGAUGUUCCCCUUCGGAACCCAAAUUGAUUAGCAGAUCCUUGACAUAGGAGUGCACCGGUUAAAGGAAUUGCAUAAUUCAACCCAGCUAUUAGAUCUUACUGUUUUUAAGGAAGGUGGUAGCUGCCAAGUGGAUCAUUAUGUACAGACCAAUCACAAGAAAGAGCCAAUGAUGGUGAAACCAAGGACAAAUCCAGGGCGUUUGGACGCCAAGUCAAAGAACCAACUGUUGUUACUUCACCGCUAUUUAGUAAGACAAGACCAUUGUCAUCAAUAACCUCCAGAAUAUCUCUACCUCUUGAAUUCACGGUAUUGCACCCCCAUGAUGUAUGAUGAGCAUUGAAAUCACCAGCAAAAAUCAUUGGUGCAGGAACAGAUUUUACUAAAGAUUCAAAUUUAUGUUUAUUAAAAGAUGGAGUACAGUUUGGUGGGCAAUAGAAACUAACAAUACUAAUUUCUUUUUUAUUUUUAGAAAUUCUGACACAAAUGUUUUGUAAUGAACUAUCAGAGUAUGUAUUUAUAUUUCUGUAAUGUAUACUGUUAUGUAUUAAAAUAACUACACCAUUGUGUUUGUUACCAAUA